ACCGUCCGGCCACCUCCGGCCACCGCCUAGCCCCGCCGAACCUCCCCCGCGACCCCCUCGCUCUCCGCCGGCUUCCCCUCGCCGCCCUAGCCGCCGGAGCAACCCCGAUCAACCCCAAUCGGCUCCGUCCAGCAGACCCACGGAGUGGGUUUGAGCAACUUCGGGCCCGCUUUUGGGUCGUUUCCCGGCCCCGAACCCGAGCCAUGCUUUGGGAACAAUUGUUCCUCGCGUCGCUGCCGUCGGAUUGAUUCGAUUUAUGCACGAUUUGGUGAGUAAUCUCACUAAUCCCGGAUUAGUUGGCUAAUUAUACUUAAGGUUGGUUUAGUUUUAAUUAAUUAUGUUUAUGUUGUUAGAUUAGAAUAAAUUAGCAAUUAUUAGUCAAUUGUGAUGUGAUUUAAAUAAAUUGAUUGCGUAAUUAGCAAGUAGACGUGGUCUACCAUUUAUUGGAAGUAUCUUGGGAAUUUUCUGACCCCUAAUUGGGCUUCAAUUUGGCGAUUCAGGUCUAAGUGGGAUUUUUGGGCAUUUAAAUAUUAAUUUUCAGAAUUAAAUUAAAUAAUUAUUUAUUUUCCGAAAAUUCAAGGGAGAUGGUCCGGAACCGGAAUAUUAUGCGGAUGACUAUGGUGAAGUCCGUUUAUUUAAUCGGGCUUUAUUUUGAGCUAAAUUGAAUUUUUAAUAUUAAUUAUUUAAUUUUCGAAAUUAAUUAAUUAUUUAUUUAUUUCCUGAAAAUUCAACUGGGAUGGCCCGUGACCGGAAAAUUAUGCUGAUGACUGUGGUGAAGUCCGUUUAUUUAUUUGGACCUUAUUUUGAACUAAUCGGAAUUUUUAAUAUUUAAUAAUUAAUUUUCGAAAUUAAUUAAUUAUUUAUUUAUUUUCGGAAAUUGAAAUUGAGAUGGCCGACGACCGAAAUCUCAUGCCGAUUGUCGUGGCGCAGUCCGUUUAUUUAUUGGAGCUUUGAAUUAUGCCAAAUUGAAUUGAAUGUGGAAUUUAUGAUAUAUUCCUAAAUUGUUGUGGUUAAUUAUUUCAUUAAGAAAUCGUUGAAUAUUGAUUGAGUAUCGAAAGUGGUCGAGUGGGACCGUAAAGCCAUUGAAUAUCGAAAGUGGUCAAGUGGGACCGUAAAGCCAUUGAAUAUCGAAAGUGGUCGAGUGGGACCGUAAAGCCAUUGAGUAUCGAAAGUGGUCGAGUGGGACCGUAAAGCCAUUGAGUAUCGAAAGUUGUUGAGUGGUGGACUGUGUCUUUCAUCUUUGCUCAAGAUGUGAUAUGAGGAUCGUGAUUCGUAAUUGAUGAUUGAGAUGGAAUAAUCGAAUUGACCUAGAAUGGUCCGUCUGACAUGUAAUCGACGAGGUCGAUUGAUCAUUGCUUUGAUUUUAUGUUAUGAAUUGAUUGACUGAAUGGAAAUGACCGUGAGUGGUCUUGUUGGCAUUUAAUCGACUAGAUCGAUUUGAUCGAUGCUUCGAUCGGUGAUAUGAUUGCUUGGGUUCCUAUUAUGAAUUGUACUGACUUGCAGGUGGGAUCUGAGGCCAAGGUACGUCUUCUGCCCCGUGUGUGUAUAGGCAGCCUGUAGUAUAAUGGUUUACUAAUCGAGGCUUAGUGGGGUAGAACUCGUUGAGACGUAGUCUCAUCCCAGUUUGGGGAAAUCAUUUCAGGACCUCGCUGAGGAGCUGAGGAGGAGGAGUUUGAGAAGAAUUUUUGGAAGAAGAAGACUUGAGUACGGCCUAGAUGGACUGAAAUUUUAUCUUCUCUUGAGAUUUCCAUUUUGAUGUGAAUAGAGUUUAGAGUAAAGAGUUGUGGAGUACUCUG
rnacentral:lncRNA from 1 species